GAUGAAGAACGCAGCGAAAUGCGAUAAGUAAUGCGAAUUGCAGAAUUUCCGUGAGUCAUCGAAUCUUUGAACGCACAUUGCGCCCGCCAGUAUUCUGGCGGGCAUGCCUGUUCGAGCGUCAUUACAACCCUCAGGCCCCCGGGCCUGGCGUUGGGGAUCGGCGGAGCCCCCCGUGGGCACACGCCGUCCCCCAAAUGCAGUGGCGGUCCCGCCGCAGCUUCCAUCGCGUAGUAGCUAACACCUCGCGACUGGAGAGCGGCGCGGCCACGCCGUAAAACACCCAACUCUUCUGAAGUUGACCUCGAAUCAGGUAGGAAUACCCGCUGAACUUAAGCAUAUCAAUAAGCGGAGGA
rnacentral:misc_RNA from 1 species